CCAUGGGAACAGGCCCCUUUGUCACACAUGGAAGACAGAUGUAAAUCCCAAAAGACGUUGGGAAAUGGCACAGCCGAUGAAAACCUCACGAUGACAGUAGUUGGGACACUGGAAAUGGCUAGCACGUCCAGAGGCGCAGGAUCCAGCGCAGCCAUGCCCAUUCGGCUCACCAAAAAAAGCUUGGAAGCACUGCUGCAAAGAACAGCGCGGAUUACUCACAUCACCUCUAGGUUCACUAAAGUCAGGCACUUUGGGGGGAGUUGAGAGUCAGACUUCCGUGUGCUGCUGGGAAUCCAGGGGCGGGAUCGUCACCUCUUCGAAGUGGCCGUCGUCCCCGCUCUCAUAGUCACUCAUCAUGACCUCGGACUCCACUUCGCAGCAGGCUGACACGUCAGAGCAGGAGGCGGUGGAGGCGUACACAGACAUGGGCAUGCUCUCGACAGCGGGCGCCUCGAAGUGUCUUUGAUACCCUGGCGGGUAAGGGGCAUGGGGUUCUCUACAAGUACUAUUCUCACCAGUGCCUUUUGUUUGAGGUUCAGACAUAUCGAGGGGAUAAAAAUUGGGCAAAUACUGAUUCAAGUUGAACCUCUGCCGGUUUCUUGAUGAAGAACCCAAGCUACCCGCGGCAGGCAUGUCUCUAGGAGGGUGGAUGGAUUCAAACUGAUUGCUGAAUUCGGGCGGUAACGGUGGUAGCUCAUCAGCUGCGGGGAAGUCUUCUGGGGGUGGAGGAAAAUCACUUUCGAUGUCGUAGCCUCCAGGGUAAUAGUCCGUAUCGAUGGCGUUUGGAUCUGCUGAGUACAGGGGUGUCUGCUCAUCAAUCACCUCAUAGUUGGGGAACUCUUGUAUGUCCGGCAGAGGAACGCUUGGCAUCCAAUCUGAUGUAUCCCAGUGAUACCCUUGGUGGAAAAGAAAACAGAUGUCAGUGUGUUUUCUCCUAAGCUUUUGUGCCAUGGAAAGAGAGCUCAGUGUAUCAAAGACACAAAGAUGCAACCGCAUUUAUGCCUUCAUUCAAAGUUCACCACUGGAAAUUCCUCGUCUUUGCUUUGAAGACAUCCCCCAACCCACUC
rnacentral:lncRNA from 1 species